CUUGGCAAUUGGUCUGCCUUGGAUUAGAAGAUAAGUUCAAACCUGAUCCCACUCUUUGGCUUGGGCUCAACACGAAGUGCCAAAGGAAGUAAUACAGGUGAAGAAUCAGUAACAGCUUUGUUUCAAAUUGUUAUGGAAUCACAAACUACCACAUGAUUACGUAGAUAUACAUGCUCUCUUGUUUCCCAAAACCACAGGCUUGUAGUGUGCCAGUAAGAGAAAAUCCAUGCAUAAAUCAUCAAUACGAAACUUCUCAAUUAUGAUAAGUUAAUGAAGUUCAGUUGACAUCAUUUAAAAUUUUCCAGCAACAGAUAAAGCCAAUAAGCAAUCAUGCACAUGCAAAAUGAGACAAAAUCCAAGAAAACAAACAAAAGGAUAUUUUGAAUGCUUGGAAUGCACGUUUUUCAGUGCGGCGCAGAAGGCGUUCAGCGUCCUCCUCAGCUUCCAUCUGUUCCUUGAGAUAGAGCAAGUCAUCACUGUCUAGGGCUGCAUUUUCAAAACUUACACAAUGCUCAAGAAACUUUAACACACUUUAUUAUGUGUGUGAAAUUGCAGGGGAAAAAAGGAAAAAGAAAUAUAAAAGAAAAUGAAUCAAGCUGAGCAAGAAUCAAUACCGC
rnacentral:lncRNA from 1 species